rnacentral:lncRNA from 1 species
UUUCAGAUUCUGAUUGACUGGUGGCAGAAGGGGUAUGAAUAUAAAGUGGCAUUAAGGCCUUGCAGACAGACUUAACAAUAACAUGCUGAAGUUGCAAUAACAGUUUGACGAAGACCCACAUGUAAUCCCAUAUUGACGGUUGUAGAACUCGUACCAACAGAUUUCACUUUGGGUAUUUAAUUGUAUUGUAAUAAGUAAGGGACUUUACUUUAACACGUUUCUUUAAAAUCACAUAAUCUUCAGUUUGCAUGCUCAGAUUGAAAAAGUAUUGCUGACGAGCUUCACUGUUCAACUUUCUUUCUCGCCUUGUAAAAGUAGUUAAACAGGUUUUUUUCCAUUGUUAUGCAUUGUACCUGUGCAAUAAUUUCACAACGUGAAAACGUGAAAUUUCGUAUGGAGUUAUCUCUUUAAAACAUAUAUAAUGUCAUUCCAAAAACAUUUCUGCCUCGAAAAACACAAAAACUGGCACAGAAACACUUCUAUAUGUACUGGAGUCUGGAUGUGUAAACUUUUUAUCAGGAUCUGAACAUCAUAAUAUUGAGUAUGCUAAAAAUAAGUGUUAUUAAACAUAUUAAAGCUUGGACGGUAAAUAGCUUAACAUAUUUUGUAUAGUUUCAUCACUCGAUGCAUAAAAUUGAGAAUGGAAAUUGGGAAUGUGUCAAAGAGACAACAACCCGACUAUAAAACAGACAACAGCAGAGUCCGUCAUAGGUAUUUUUAUCGUUCGGCUGCUGUCCUGUGCAAUAUCUCCGAUUAUAUAAAUCCUCUGGAUCAUAGUGGGUGCAAUAUUACCUAUUAACAUGAUUAAGUUAGAAAUACAACGAUGAUGUAUGAGUGCCAAUUGAGAUAUCUUUCCGUUUAAUACACAAUCUAGUAAAGUAAUCAAUCGUAGGUUCGUUGCUGAAAACUGAAAAGUAAGCUAUAAAGUGACCAAAAAUUAUUUGUGUAAAAUAACAUAAAAAAAACCGGCCUUAUUUUAUAUACAAAAAUAGAAAUUUUUAUAUCCAAUGCAUAAAAGAAAUAUAGUAGGUUUAGGUGUAAAGGUGCAAUUUUCACAAAACAUAUCAAAUUUCCAACGUUGUCGAACAUAAACAUGGAUAACAUCAUUAAUGAUUUUAUUAAGAUUGACAAAUGUUCGAGUCCGAGUCCGUUAAAAAUUAAAAAAAAAUCUUAUAUCUCCAUUUGAAAAAAAAUCUUAGCAAAGACGAAAACCAUAUGAAACAACAGGUGUUUUCCACUACCGUCAGAGCAGAGGGAACAUUUUGAAAGUUCCAAAUACUGAAAUAUGUCAAAAACCAAUACUUUUUUGUAAACACUGUCAUGUAUGUAAAUACUUUAUAAUGGAAACCCGAACUUCUGAGGGAUGUUUAUAUACAAAAAUAAGGAGAUGGGGUAUGAUUGCCAAAUGGGACAACUAUCCACUUAAGCACAAAUAAAGUGGAUGUAAGUAAUGAUAGGCAACUGUAACGCCUUCAACAAUGAGAAAACCCCAUACCGUAUAGUCGCCUAUUAAUGGCCACGAUUGAUGAUUAUAUGCUAUUGUCUUUUAAACAUGUUAAAGCCAAAUAUAUAAACACAUUUUGUCCUCGAUUUAAAUUACUUUUUAAACAUAAAAGUAGGUGCAAUAUAUAUUUUUAAACUCAAAAAGUUUAUUGACCCCAUCAGAUACUUGACAAACUCUUAGUCUUCGUCUUUUGUAUGAACACAAAAUUCAUGGAUCACACAUUUCUCUUUAACUAUCUAUACGAAAGUUUCUGCACUCAUGAAUAUUAGCAUCGGCUGUAAUCGACGGCUAACUUUACACUUGUAUGUUUGUCUGGUGUGUAAUUGUGUUUUUAGCUCACCUGGCCCGAAGGGCCAAGUGAUCUUUUCUCAUCACUUGGCGUCCGGCGUCCGGCGGCGUCCGUCGUCCUGCGUCCGUCGUCGUUAACUUUUACAAAAAUCUUCUCCUCUGAAACUGCUGGGCCAAAUUAAUCCAAACUUAGCCAUAAUCAUCAUUGGGGUAUCUAGUUUAAAAAUUGUGUCCGGUGACCCCGCCAACCAACCAAAAUGGCCGCCACAGCUAAAAAUAGAACAUAGGGAUAAAAUGCAGUUUUUGGCUUAUAACUCAAAAACCAAAGCAUUUAGAGCAAAUCUUACAAGGUGUAAAAAUGUUCAACAGGUCAAGAUCUAACUGCCCUGAAAUUUUCAGAUGAAUCGGACAACUUGUUGUUGGGUUGCUGCCCCUGAAUUGGUAAUUUUAGGGAAAUUUUGCUGUUUUUUGUUAUUAUCUUGAAUAUUAUUAUAGAUAGAGAUAAACUGUAAACAGCAAUAAUGUUCAGCAAAGUAAAAUCUACAAAUAAGUCAAAUAACCAAAAUGGUCAGUUGACCACUAUAGGAGUUAUUGUCCUUUAUAGUCAAUUUUUAACCAUUUUUCGUAAAUCUUGGUUAUCUUUUACAAAAAUCUUCUCACUCUGAAACUACCAGGCCAAAUUUAAACAAACUUGGCCGCAAUCAUCAUUGGGGUAUCUAGUUUAAAAAUUGUGUGGCGUGACCCGGCCAACCAACAAAGAUGGCCGCCAUGGCUAAAAAUAGAACAUAGGGGUAAAAUGCAGUUUUUUGCUUAUAACUCAAAAACCAAAGCAUUUACAGCAAAUCUAACAGGGAGUAAAAUUGUUAAUCAGGUCAAGAUCUAUUUGCCAUGAAAUUUUCAGAUGGAUUGGACAAACUGCUGUUAGGUUGCUGCCCCUGAAUUAGUCAUUUUAAGGAAAUUUUGCCGUUUUUUGUUAUUAUCUUGAAUAUUAUUAUAGAUAGAGAUAAACUGUAAAGGGAAACAAUGUACAGCAAAGUAACACCUAAAAAUAAGUCAACAUGACCUAAAUGUUCAAUUGACCCCAUAAGGAGUUAUUGCCCUUUAUAGUCAAUUUUUAACAAUUUUCAUAAAAUUUGUAAAUUUUAACUAACAUUUUCCACUGAAGCUCUUAGGCCAAGUUCAAUAAAGAUAGAAUGAUUGUAAGCAGCAAUAAUGUUCAGUAAAGUAAGAUAUACAAACACAUCACCAUCACCAAAACACAAUUUUGUCAUGAAUUCAAAUGCGUCCUUUGUUUAACAUUCACAUAGACCAAGGUGAGCGACACAGGCUCUUUGGAGCCUCUAGUUCACUGUUGUUUCGUUGCUGUCUGGUGGACAAAUACAUGAAUUCUGCAUGUCAUCAUUAAACACGUGAAUAGCUAUAUAUCUGGUAAAUCAAACACUUUUUCUUCGCAUAGAAAGAACUCUUCAUUAAUCUGAGCAUGGAACGAAUACUUUAUAUCACGAACUAUAAAUGUGGAUACAAAAAAAUGAAAAACUAAGCUAAAUUGUUAAUCCCGCAUUGCACGACAAAAUGUGUUGUAUUUAAGUAAAUAGCAUGUGUUCUUGGUUGAUUGUAAACACGUAGUAGUCCAUAAUGCAUUGUUGCUCAUUAAGUGGAUUGGUAAAAAAAACCAGGUAACAAUAAAUUGCGUCACACGUAAAUAAACAAUUACACGUGCGAGAACAUAAGUAUGCUAAUUCAUGCAUUUCCAUAUAAUGGCAAGUUGGGAUGAGGUAAGUUUUUCUUCUUAAAAGUCAUUGUCAUGUGACUAUGUCAUGUGUCCCAUGUUGUCUAUAAACUGUGUGUUAUGAAGGUAGAUGUCACAGUUGUUAUGUGGUAAUUCAUUUUUGCUGUGUGUGUCAAUGUUUAUUUUUUUACAUGAUCCUGUUUGUGUUUCAGAUUUGCAAAUAUCAUUUUCAUUAUUAAUUAAAAAUGUACUUUCAAUAAAUUUUAGGGAGGAAGCUUGAUGGUUUUUGUCAUUCCCUCUUAAUUAGAAAAUAAUCUAUUAUAAAUAUUCAAUCAGAAUCCCAAUUCAGAGCUGUUUUAAGCUUAAAUGUUGUGUCCAUACUUGUUCAACUGUUCAGGGUUCGACCUACAUUGUAUGCAGGAAAAUCCAGUUUGCUGUCACUUGACAGCCUCUUGUUCUUAUUGUUGAAGGCCGUACUGUUGCCUAUACUUGCUUACAUCCACUUCAUUUGAACUUAAGUGGAUAGUUGUCUCAUUGGUAAUCAUAUCUCCUUAUUUUAAUAAAUAUACAAUGAUUUCAAUUUCUUUUACAGGAUAUAAUGGCAAGUUGGGAUGAGGUAAGUUUUUCUUCUUAAAAGUCAUUGUCAUGUGACCUAUGUCAUGUGUCCCAUGUUGUCUAUAAACUGUACAGAAAGAUACAGGUGUGUAGUAUUCUCAGAGUCAGUCAGUGUCAUGAGACCUACAAAAUGUAUGUCAUGUGAUCUAUGUUGUCUACAAACUGUACAUAAAGAUACAGGCGUGCAGUAUUCUCAGAGUCAGUCAGUGUCAUGUGACCUAUGUCAUGUGACUUAUGUUGUCUAUAAAAUGUACAUAAAGAUACAGGUGUGUAAUAUUCUCAGAGUCAGUCAGUGUCAUGUGACCUAUGUCAUGUGACCUAUGUUAUAAAGAUACAGGCGUGCAGUACAAACAAUUUCGCUCCUUCUUGGUAAUCACUGUUUUGGUAUAAACUGUUGGAACUGUAAAAAUGUAGCUUGUUAAAUUCAAUUAUUACAUUUAUAAUACAUUUGUAUGUUCUAGAGGAAAAUGUAAAAGCUUUGUUUUGCUUACAGAAACUUCUUACAGCUGCAAAGAAGGGGAAUAUAAAAGAGAUAGAAAUAUGUAUAAAGAACAGAGCUAACUUGGAAUGUAGAGAU